AGUAACGGCGAGUGAAGCGGUAACAGCUCAAAUUUGAAAUCUGGCACCGUGUCGGGGCCCGAGUUGUAAUUUGUAGAAGAUGCUUUGGGUUGUCGGACCGGCCUAAGUUCCUUGGAACAGGACGUCGUAGAGGGUGAGAGUCCCGUCUGUGGCCGGGGCCUGGCGCCUGGGUAAAGCUCUUUCGACGAGUCGAGUUGUUUGGGAAUGCAGCUCCAAAUGGGUGGUAAAUUUCAUCUAAAGCUAAAUAUGGGCCAGAGACCGAUAGCGCACAAGUAGAGUGAUCGAAAGAUGAAAAGCACUUUGGAAAGAGAGUUAAACAGUACGUGAAAUUGUUGAAAGGGAAGCGCUUGCCGCCAGACUUGGGCCAGUUCGAUCAUGCGGCGCGCACGUCGAGCAGCAGCACUCGAGCUGGCACAGGCCAGCAUCGGUUCAGGCGGCUGGAGAAGGACGGUAGGAAGGUAGCUGCCUCUCACGGGGGAGUGUUAUAGCCUACGGUGGCAUGCAGCCCGCUGGGACCGAGGAACGCGCACUCCUUUUUAAUUAGGGGAGGGCUAGGAUGCUGGCGUAAUGGUGGUAAGCGACCCGUCUUGAAACACGGACCAAGGAGUCUAACAUCUAUGCGAGUGUUUGGGUGGGCAAAACCCAUACGCGGAAUGAAAGUGAACGUAGGUGAGAGCCCUCCUGUGGCCGGGGGGGUGCAUCAUCGACCGAUCCUGAAGUCUUCGGAUGGAUUUGAGUAAGAGCAUAGC
rnacentral:rRNA from 1 species